GUCUCCAAAUCUAAUCCAUCUCGGGUCCUCUUCUUCUCCUCCUCUUGGCGACGGAAGCCAAACCCUAGCAAGCUCACCUCAGCACCACCGCCGCCCGCCGUCGCCGAUCUCCUCCGCACCAUGGCGGCGCCGAAGCCCAUCUGGGUGCGCCAGGCCGAGGAGGCCAAGCUCAAGUCCGAGGCCGACACCACCGCCGCCGCCAAGGCCGCCUUCGACGCCACCUUCCGCGCCCUCUCCGCAUCCGCCCACGCCGACCAGCCGCCCCAGGACCUCGAGCCCUCCUCCUCCUCCCCCGCCCACCCCGCCUCCUUCCCCGCCCUCCGCGCCGCCUCCGCCAACUCCGACUCCGACUCCGACGACGACGACCGUCCCCGCGCCCCGCCGGGUCCCGUCGACCCCGCCAAGUCCUCCGCCGCCGGCCCCGGCAUCGCCGGCGGCUCCGCGGCCGCGCCGGCCACCUUCACCGUCGUCGGCAAGGACCGCGACGGGCGCCGGGUCACCUCCGGCGGCGCCAGCGUGCGCGUCCGCGUCCGCCCCGCGGACAACUCCGACAACUCCGACCUCGAGGGCGCCGUCAGGGACAACGCCGACGGCUCCUACGCCGUCACCUACGUCGUCCCCAGGCGCGGCAACUACAUGGUCCACGUCGACCUCGACGGCGCGCCCAUCAUGGGCAGCCCCUUCCCCGUCUUCUUCAGCGCCGCCUCCACCACCACCACCACCGCGUCCCCGUACCCCACGGCCACCACAACCUUCCCCACCACCUCCUCCGCGUACCCCAACAUGGUCAACCAGACCAUGCCCAACAUGCCCAACUACGCCGGCUCCUUAACCUCCGGCCCCUUCCCCAGCAUGAUCGGCCUCUUCCCCGGCUCCUCCACAGGCUCGUCCGGCGGGGUCACCCUGCCUGGCGUUGGCGCCUCGCUGGGGGAGAUUUGUCGGGAGCACAUCAAUGGCAAGUGCACCAAGGGGGCCGACUGCAGGUUCAGCCACCCACCGCAGCAGCUGCUCAUGUCAGUCAUGGCUGCCCAAACGUCUGUCAGCACGCUGGGCCACGCUCCCAUGGCGCCAUCCGCCGCAGCCAUGGCGGCGGCGCAGGCCAUCAUGGCUGCCCAGGCACUUCAGGCGCAUGCUGCUAAGAUGCAAGCUGAUGCCAAGGCUGCAGCGCAGGCUCCAGGUCCGACGGAAGCUGAGAAAGCCGAGACUCUGAAGAGAACUGUUCAGAUUAGCAACCUGAGCCCACUGCUUACUGUGGAGCAUCUCAAGCAGAUGUUUGGGUACGUCGGCAAAGUUGUUGACUGUACAAUUGCAGACUCGAAACAUACUGCUUAUGUGGAGUACACCAAACCGGAAGAAGCAACCGCAGCGUUGGCGCUCGGUAACGUGGAUGUUGGUGGUCGCCCGUUGAAUGUUGAGAUGGCUAAGUCUCUUCCUCAAAAGGCUACUUUGGCAAAUAGCAAUUUGCCUCUGAUGAUGCAGCAAGCUGUUCAGUUGCAACAGAUGCAGUUCCAGCAGGCACUGAUGAUGCAGACGGCAUUGGCAGCUCAGCAGACCGCUUCACGUGCAGCUACUAUGAAAAAUGCCACUGAAGCAGCAGCAGCACGGGCUGCUGAAAUAAGCAGGAAGCUGAAGGCAGAGGGCUUUGGUGGGGAAACUGUGGAAGAAAAGGAGGCCAAAGAGAAGUCAAGAUCGCUCUCACCCCCUUCUCGUAGGUCCAAAUCUCGGUCAAGAUCACCUAUCAAGUACCAUUGGAGUAGGCGGGAUCGCUCUUACUCUCCACCAGUUAGACGCUCCCGGGAGCACCGAUCACGAUCUCCAUCAAGAUCUCACCACUACUCAAAGUAUGGGAGUGACCGGUCAUAUAGGGACGAUAGGGACAAGUAUAGCAGGUCUGGGAGAAGAGAGGGUGAUCGAUCCCGUGAUCAUUAUUCAUCUAGUUCAAGGAGGAACAGAAGUAGAAGUAUAAGCCCGAGGUAUAAGAAGUCAUCGAGAGCUGAUUCUCGGUCACCGAAGCGGCAAAGGGAAGAAAGUUUAAGCCCAUUGAAAUCAAGAAGGUCAGGUCGUGCUGAUUCAAGGUCACCGAGGCGUCAUAAAGGAAGCAAAUCAUCACCAACACGUGAUGAGCGUUCUUCUCGUCGUAGCAGGCAUUCAAGAUCCAGGUCACAAGAGAGAAAGCAUCGUAGCAGUGAGAAGAAGGACGUAAAAAAAUCUGAGACGCAGGAUGACAAAAAGAGAUCUAGCAGAUCUAGUAGAGGUGGAAAAGAUGAACGGUCUGUAAAGGACCCAGUGGACGAUAAGAAUGUGGAUACUUCUGUUGUUGCUCAUAAAAGGAGUUCAUCUGUAUCUGAAGAUGAAAUGCUGACCAGUGAUAAUGGUAAUCACAAAAAACCUAGGCAUGAUGCUGCCCUGGAGUAUGACAAGAGGAAGAAUGAGGACAGUAUUGAGGAUGGUGCUGGGAUGACUGGAGAUAAAAUUGUUGUGGACAGAAAAUACAGAGAAGACGAAUCAAAACAUUCUACUAGGGAUAAAAGCUCUCGUCAUUUGUCUUCACGGUCCCAUAGAAGCUCAAGACGUUCCGGGGAAAAACACCAUAGGGAUGGUACUGACCAGCAUGAAUUGAAGAGAUCAGAAGAGGGUGCUAGAGCUAAGAAAGACAGUAGUUCUCUUGAUGAUCCCUUUUCUUCGGAUAAAAAGAAAGUCCAUAAGGAGAGCUCUCCUGAUAGAAAGCUUAAUCAGUCGAAAGCUGGUUCAGAUUCUGAAGGCAUCAAUCAUGACACUGAAGUUAGGCUGCGGAAUGCUUUACUAGAAAAGGCAAAUCUGGUUAUCCAGGAGGACCUACAGUUUGCUGAUGAAACUGGUGUGUCGUCUACAGAUAAAUGCUCAGCAGAUGUUCCAUUGCCUGCAUCCGUGUCCAACAUUAACGGGCAACAUGGACCUGAAGGAGAUGGUGCUUUAGGGGAGUCUGCCAUAUGAUGUUAAGCAGAGUGUUCACCUGAGUCUGCUCAACCAAUGGAUGCAUAGCGCUGAACUAGUGUUUGUUACCUCCUUUCUGAUUUAGGAGUUUUAUUUGCAGGAUAUGGAGAUCUCAGGAGAGCUUCAGUCUGGACCAGAGUGUUCGUCUGAUCUAUAAAAAAUGCUUGUGGAGAGUUGGAGCUGAUUCUGCGGUGAAGAUUGAAGGCAGUGCGCACUUAUCCAUACUCAAGGUCUGCUCGAGAAGCCAGUAACUGACUGGUGUGUGAGGCAAUUGUUGAGAAAGUCCAAGCAUUUUCUCGAGGGAUGUUCCCUUGAUAGUUCCAGAGAUAAGCAGCAUGCCUUCAGAUAUAUAGCAUUCCUUAUGUCUUCUUUUGGCUGUUCUUUUCUGAGGCACUGUCUCUGCAAAGAGCAAUUUUGCUACUCAGUUACUAUUUACCUGCUGUGAUGGGUGUUGUGAUUGGAAAAAUAUGUGCAGGUUUUAUGAAAGGUGAUUGCAGUUGGAGCAUGCUUUGAGCGGAUUGUGAGCCAUGCUAGCUUUAGAAGCUGCUUUGUGUGUAGAAGAGGUUAACUAUGCGAGGAGGAACAAAAGUUUACCAGUAUUGCCACAAGAAGGGCACAUUGGGUGAUCAAAUUUCAAGUAGACAGUGUACUUGGCCUCAUAAAAGAAGUCUGUCACAAGAUUUGACACCAAUCUGGGGAUAUGUCUCUUUCCAAGUGAAAAUAAAAUAAUUUACAGCCACUUGUGCCCAACUUGUGGGACACACUUUUAUCUGUGUUUUCACAUGGAACAAGAAACACACAUUACAAAUUUUCUUUGUUCAGAUAGAAAAACAAUUGUCUGCCACUAAUUCCUCAUACCACCAGGUCUGGAUUGGAGUAAAUAUCUUCCAUCCAAAAAUAAGUAACUCAACUUUUUAUAGAUA